CGGGACAGCGGCACCCGGCUGCCAGCAGGGCAGAGGAGUGAGCUCAGGAUCCCGGCACCCGAGCAGAUGGGGAUAGGUCCCUCUUUUAGUGAGCAAACAACAGCUUGCGCCGGCCUCCGAUGCCGAGAGCGAGAGACCAGCAGCUGCCCCCGCACCUUCACCUGCCCAAUUCUGACGGUUUCUCCUCCCUCAGAGAGAUAUCUCCACUGCAACUAGAUGCCCUCCUUCCCUGAGGCUUGGCCACAUCUUUGUUUUCUUAAGUAUCCAGUUGUUAAGGUUUCCUAGCAACUUAUGGGAAAAAUUGUAUAAGUAAAAGGAACAAAAGGAAGAAGGGAAAAAUGUAUUUCCUUAUUCUUACAGUUUGUGAGUUACAAGCGAAGUAGAUAUUUUUAGUUGACAAUAAAGAGCUGAACAAGGUUUAUUAUAGCAACUUUAAUAUAGCAGUUAUGCAGAAAAGCCUACAAACAGACUUUCAGAACUAUAAUUUUUCUGGUCAUAGAGUUCUUUUUCCAGCACAAAGGCGUCUGCAGUGUCUAAGCUUGACUUCUAUCCCACAUAAACCUUAUUAAAACAUCUUUAAAGAAAUGUAAUUUAUUUAUGGAUUUGGAGAAAGUUCUUGAGAUGAGGUUAAUGUUUGUGGUUAUACAAAUACAAUGCGGGUUAAAUCUCCUGACAGCUACGCAGUUAUUGAAAAUAAAUAAACCAGAAUAGAUUCUUUUCAAAUUUAUUCCUCAUCAAAAUAUCCAGGAAAAAAAAAUAAAAGAGUAGUAUUUACUGCAGAGAACAAUUCAAGAGAACUGAUCUAGUUUUGGUUUUCUGUCUGCAUCUCUUAACUGUAUGUUUCUGUCAGACAGGCAUUCCUUAGUCAUAUGAUCUAUUGGCAGUGAAAGUGCCCAAAUUCAGUGUGUUAUGAGCUAUAAAAAUUUCUCUGGGAUGUGUACAUUUUUUAUAAGAUCUAUUUAUUCAUUCUUGUGUUGACCUCACAAAUAAUUCAAUCUCCUAAUUUUCCCAAAUAACUUCUGACAGUGUAACUACAGAUCUGUGUUGCAAAAGUCUCCUGAAGAUAUUAGGAUUUUUCUCAUUUUCAGUCAUAAUAAUUCGUUUUUGCCUAAAACGAUUAUCAAGUCAUUAAAUUCUCUUCCAUUUUCUCUAUAUGUUAUAAAUACACUUAAUACAUUGAUAUCUGUAAGCUUUCCACUUUACUGACAAUAUGCUGGACAUAGAACAUACUUUGAUCAUAUUGCCUUCUGGUUUUUGAUACACCACCUUUUUGAAAAUGUCAUCAAAUCUUAAUAAAACAUAUGUGUAUAUAUCCUCUUCUGCUUGGAAAUUUCCUGUAGUGCUGGCUAGAUAAAUUCUCUGAAUGGUUCUUCAGAACAGGCACAUCAGAAAAGUGGAGACUAAUGCAUGCUGACCUGCCAUAUGGGCACGAUUUCACUGAAACCCUUUCUUUCUUCUUCUGAGACGUACAUACAAAUCCCAGAAGCUAUGUACACAGUUUUGUGUUUAAUAACAUAGUGCAGCAUACUGUUCACGAAAGUAUGUAGGCACAGAUGAAUCAUGAACAUAAACAGGGGGAGACAGAUUGUAUACAUUGAGCCUCUGUGUCUAACUCUCACACCGAGCACAGUGGAUGCCAGUCCUUAUGCCUGAGGCAGCAGCUACCCACAGAACCUCUACCCUGGUCCUCAGAAGCAUCUUAUUAACCCCAGAAGAGCCACAGAUUCUGUAUUACCUGCUGUUAGUAUCUGCUCUGGGAACACCUGUAGUCGCCCUGUCUGUUGGGCCUUCAGCAUGGAAAUAAUAUUUGCAGCAACCCUGAGCAGCUUUUCAGCUUCCCUUGAGUUACUCUCACAGGCUCUGCUCCUCACCUUGUCGCUCACAGCAGGAUGACAGAAAGCUGGUAAAUUUUGUUGUGGAAUCAGCUGCUGGUGUUGCAGAAAAGCACAACAAAUUCUCAGCUCUAGAAAUUUGAACAGGGGACCAAAAACUACAGUUAGUAAAAGAAGACAGAAUUUUUAAAGAUAGAGUGGAUAGGAGAUUGCAGAGACAAAGGAGGAGCAAUGUGCAGAAACAUAAUAGCCAGAAGACACCAGUGACAGAAGUAAUCUUUAGACUGUAAAUGGAUGCGAAAAGAAGGGCUUGGGGGAGAUAUAUAUUUUUUAGAAAGAGUGAACAAACAAAAUCCCAAAGAACUAGAGCACAGCUGUCCAUCCUGUACGCUGUGGAAAAAAACAGCACAACAUUCCCUCUUUCUGCGAACAUCUGGUCACAAAAGGAAGCCAAGAACCAGAAGAAGAGCAGUUCACUGGCAAACACAUGCCAGCAUUCUUGCUAUCGCUACCAUACAGCUCUGGUCCAUGUUUCAGGCACAGAGAUUUAAUGACUGCGUGACUUGAAGAAAAUAAAUGUAUUUAUUUUUCCCCCAAAAUUAUGGGGCUUGAGGUGAAAUAAGAAAAUCCAACCGAGAAAGAAGAAAAACAAUCAAUGUUGUGUAGUCAAAUUCAAAAUGUUUCUCAGCAUGGGGCCUUUGGCUGAAGACUUCAAGAAGAGCAGGAGAUCCCAAGAUGCUGUGCAGGAAUUGCCUCCCCUCAGCAUACACAUGACUUGUUGAAAUAUCCAUCCAGCCACAAGAUGUCAGCACACUCAACGGGAAUUCCUACAAAAACCAAAAUCUGUAUAAAUGGGGGUAUUUCUGUGUCACACAUCUCUCCUCCUGCUAUUAAUGGAAAAAAAAAAAUUAUGUUUCUGAAGGCUUACAUGAAAUAUCACAUUCAGGCUGUGCCUUCAAAGUGGAAAUACCUGAUGUACCAUGGUUUGACCAUAGUAUUUAAUGAGAGUAAAAUUCUGAAAUAGGAUGGAGAACAUGGUUUUCUCUUCCCACUCUGAAAGCAACAGAUGUUGGACAAGGAUCUAAAAUAGCUCAUAAGCACAUGAAUAAUAUUCAGUAACAGAAUGUAAGCUCUGGCCAGCUGCUUAGACAUUCUAGACUGCACACUCAGCUUUGAAAUCCUGCUUCAGUACCUCUCCAGAAAUUAUUUUGCCUCAGUAAAAUGUCCAGAUAUCUGUUUCAUGGCCUUCACAAUCGCACUAUCUAUAAACCCUUAAAUAAAAAAUUGUACAGGUGGGUUCUGGCUGGUGUGCUAAGUACCAUAAGUAGAGGCCGUAUGGGAUCUGAACAUAGCACAAAAUAAAUUAAUCAUGUCCACUUUCUUUCAAAAAUGGCUCAGACUCAAGAUGUCAUGAUAUCAGCAGUAUUUUGCAAUUUGCCUGACCAAAAUAUUCAGUGAGUUGUUCCUAUUACUGCAUUCCUAUCUGCAAAUAGUCAAGUUUCACCUUGGGCAGGAAAUUGCCUGGAAUCUUCCUGUAAAAUAUGGUCAGAAUUUCCUCUAUGUCAUUUGAAUUCGUUGUGCACAUCAAUGUAUCCACAGCAGAUGGUAUAUGAGAGACUUUCUGGGAAGACUGGGGUAGCUAGAUUCUCUGACUUCCAUAUUAGGUAAAUUUGUAGUCAAAAUGUACAACAAAAUUAGUGGGCAUCUGGAAAAAGAAAAGUUCCUUGGAGAUACCAGCAUGCCUUACGUAGAGGAGAGUUCUGUGCUGUGGAUGUUUUAGUAUUUUUUUUUUGACAAAGUCAUCAAACAUGAAAAGAAGAAUGAUUUAGUUGAUACAGUCUAGCUGUAUUUACAAAGUAUUUGACAAUGCCAUCUCUCAAGCCUUUUAAAGAAAAUCAUACACUCUUAGAAUAUGCUGAGCUGGAAGGGGCCCAUCAUGAUCAUCAAGCUCAACCCCUGGCCCUGUGCAGAACACUCCAAGGAUCACUCUAUGCUGCUGUGGAGUUUUGCAAGGGGCUGAGUCUCUCUCCAGGGAGAUAAAUAUAUGCAGUUGAGUUUCUCGUAUCCAAAAGGAAUUUUGCCAGGUGAAGUGAGGAAGAGAAGAUAAAAAAAAAG